AUUGAACGCUGGCGGCAGGCCUAACACAUGCAAGUCGAGCGGAUGAAGGGAGCUUGCUCCUGGAUUCAGCGGCGGACGGGUGAGUAAUGCCUAGGAAUCUGCCUGGUAGUGGGGGAUAACGUCCGGAAACGGGCGCUAAUACCGCAUACGUCCUGAGGUAGAAAGUGGGGGAUCUUCGGACCUCGAGCUAUCAGAUGAGCCUAGGUCGGAUUAGCUAGUUGGUGGGGUAAAGGCCUACCAAGGCGACGAUCCGUAACUGGUCUGAGAGGAUGAUCAGUCACACUGGAACUGAGACACGGUCCAGACUCCUACGGGAGGCAGCAGUGGGGAAUAUUGGACAAUGGGCGAAAGCCUGAUCCAGCCAUGCCGCGUGUGUGAAGAAGGUCUUCGGAUUGUAAAGCACUUUAAGUUGGGAGGAAGGGCAGUAAGUUAAUACCUUGCUGUUUUGACGUUACCAACAGAAUAAGCACCGGCUAACUUCGUG
rnacentral:rRNA from 1 species